UGUAUUGUAGAAUUUUCAAGAAUAUAUUCAAGAGAGAUUAAAAAUAUUGUUUAAAGAAAUGAGAGCUUAUUCAAGGAUAAGUGCUUGUAAUGAAACUAAGUUUAAAGUGUUUCAAGUGCUAGGAGCGGCGCAUCCAAGGCUCGAGGAGGACAACCGAAGCAAGCUUGAAGAGGUUUGAAUUCAAUCACUUAAGGUUAAGGAGUUGACGGCAAGACGGCAGACAUGGAGCUCCACAUUCUCCCGUUCUAUUAUAUGAUGAAGUAUUAUAUGUUGCUGUUUUUGGUAAAUAUAUCUUGCUACUAACCAACUUAGCCUCUUCCAAUUUUGGUGGGUCGAGACUUUAUAUAUAUUGGUUUAUGAUCAUGCAUUUUGAUGA